GCGCCUAUAGCUCAACUGGACAGAGCGUCAGAUUCCGGAUCUGAAGGUUAGAGGUUCGAGUCCUCUUAGGCGCGCCA
rnacentral:tRNA from 2 species